UUUAGUGUUGCAUUUUUUGGUUAAUAGUUUUAUCAAAUCAUUUUUGGUGGCAAAGACUGAUUAUACUAUACAACAAUUUUUUUUAAUCUACUUUAUCGAGGAACAUAAGCUGGAACUCAUACACUUGAAGAUGGCCGACAGUAUUAAACAAUCAGUUUAUGGCCUGGAGCGACAAUAUUCUGAAGAUUUUAGUUUAGAAUCAUUGCCAUCCACUCCAUCUAUAUCCGAAAUUGUUUUAAGAAUCAUCGCUAAGACUAUAAUGUACAAAGGUCACUGUUACUUGGGACUACAUGAGGAGACCGGGAGGAUAUACAGACCUAUUCUAAGCACACAGCCGGGAACCUGUUGUUGGCCUUCAAGCAGAAAUUUCAGUUUAAAAAAAUCAUACCGGUUUCAUGUAAUUUUCAAUCCCGAUCACCCUGUUGAGGACUUCUUCACUCCGCUUCCUCAUAGAUAUGAAGACAUGGUUGUUGCUUCAUUUGUGACUGAGGAGGAUAACGGAUCAUUUGAUACUCAACGUCUUACGAAAACAGCAAAGCGUGAUGUCAACGAAAUAUUUCCCGGAAUUCAGGAAACAAGAUACAUAAAUAAAAAUGCUGACGCACGUUCAACGGGAAUAUUGAAAUGUAGGUCUGAAAAUGUUUCCAUAUAUUUUAAUGAAUGGGAAAAGAGAAGAUGCAGCAUACAGAUGGAUUCCGGAAGUUACGAAUUUCCCGUGACAGGGAUUGACAUGGAGAACAUUCCGGACGAAAGCAAUGAUAUUAUUGUAGUCCUUGGGCUGGCUCGCCCCUACAACAAAGAUGGCGAAUACGUUCCUGCUCGAUGUUACAUUUUGGUCGUUGGUUUAUUUAUUCUGUAAUAACACAAUUGAGGUGUUCAAAUCUUAUGACAUCGUAUCAAAAGAAUUGCUAUAUAGGCAAGAGUUUAUAUGGCAAUAAAUAUUUGAAUUGAAUUAUAUUAAUUAUUAACUUUAAACUUAAAGUAACGCAAGAGGAUGUUUUCACGAAUUUAUAUUAAUCGAGAAAUAAGUGAAAACAAAAUCUUCGGAAAAUAUGCAGUAGUAUCUGUGAAUUUAAGAAAAAACCCAAAAACUAGUAAACAAUCAGUACUUCUCAUAUAACACCAGAGCUGUUCAAGGUCAUAAAUUCAUUUAUUUUAAAAUUUACUCUUUGACCUGCUUUUUUAUUAUUACGAUUGCUUUGUAAUUUCUUUGCAAAUGUUUCAGAUUUAAAUUGUUUGUUUUUGUAUUUAAUUUGAAAAAAGGAGAUGGGGUUCUCCAGUUUAUCUUGCUCGAAGAAAACUUAAAUUACAACAUUUUUCAUUUUGUUUAACUUACUAUGAAUGUGUUUAUACGACAUAACUUAAUAUGCAUUAAAUCUACAAUAUA